AACGAACGCUAGCGGCGUGCCUUAUACAUGCAAGUCGAACGAGUGGCGGACGGGUGAGCAAUAUAUCGGACCGUGCUCAGUAGCCGGGGAUAACUACUCGAAAGAGUGGCUACUACCCCAAACUCUCGGAGCGGCCUCUAUCGGAUUAGCGAUUGGGUGGGGUAAAGGCUAACAAAGGCAACGAGCCGUAGCUGGUUCGAGAGGACGACCAGCCACACUGGGACUGAGACACGGCCCAGACUCCUACGGGAGGCAGCAGUGGGGAAUUUUGGACAAUGGGGGAAACCCUGAUCGAGCCAUCCCGCGUGUAUGAGAAGGCCUUCGGGUUGGAAAGUCCUUUUGGCAGAGAAGCGGUAUCUAAAGAGAAAGCAACGGCUAACUACGUGCCAGCAGCCGCGGUAAUUC
rnacentral:rRNA from 1 species